UUGGCUACACAGCAGGGCCGGCCAGGCCCCUGGUGAGUCACAAAGGUGAGCAAGGCUCCGUCUGGGCCAGCCUGGUGUGACAGCCAGACAACGGGCAGAUGGAGACCAGAAGCUCCCAGGGAGGAGCCAGGGCCUACAAAGCCCCGGCUAGUUCGGGAGACCCAGGUCUGUGAAAUCCCCUGGAGCUGUAUUCCAGCAGCGAAUCGAUCUCCCACAGAGAGACAUUUUGCUGAGAGAGCCCAGGACAUCCUGUGGGGCACCCCUCGAAUCUGGCUUCCAUGUUGCCUGAGGAGCCCCACUUGGCGGCACCCCUACAUCCACAGGACGGAGAGCUGCUUGCCCUUCAGAACCCCGCCACGGCGACUCCUCGCCCCAGUGGGAACGUGUAGGUCGCAUCGAGCCAGGCAUGCGGUGUUGAGUCGUGGCACAUCAGCAAGAGGAAAGGGAAGGUGGCAGCCCAGAGGCUUCGCUGGCUUAAUUGUGACAAACUGCUGGAUGGAGAGAACCGUUUAGGUAGAUUCCAGAGCUUGCCUGAUAUGCAUUAUUAAAUGACUUGAUCAGUUUCUUGUUAUAUUUUCUCAUUAGAAAUCAGUCAGGCAUAACAACUCUUACUGUUUUAAAGAAAAUGCAGCUAGAAUGUUCUUUAAAGGACAAAAUUUUGGUUUUGAUUGUUGUAGUAAGACAGGAAAACCCUCAUAACUGGAAUAGAAUAAAUGGCAAAUUAAUGCAUCGAAA